ensembl:lncRNA
CAAGAAACGAUACAGCAAAUGUCCCUCCUCUUGGCACAUCCUCUGGUCCUGGGAUCUCUGUGGCUGCAGCAGAGUGGCUCUGCUUGGGAGCUAGAAGGGAGAGCAGGACCGCUGAGUUGUGCAUUUCAUUUCCUCCUGGUGACCGGGCGCUGGGUUCAGCCGUGUGGGUGGGACGUGGAGGAGCUGUAACCCAACCCUGCCAGCGUGAAGGAUUCUCUGCAGUGCUUUUUUCUCCUGUGAAGUCAAAACUAACCAAAGGAAUCUCUCGUCAAAGAAAGAGAAGUGGAGCAUGUGUUCCUCCUAGACCAGCCCACAGUGCCAGCUGAGUUACUGCUGACUGGGGGAAAACAUCUUGGGAAGGCACAGCUCUUGGGACUGAGUCUCAGAUUACUGAUGGCACAGUUUGACUUCUGUUUAGACUGAAAAUCUCAAAUGAAGGGCUCUGUUUCUAGGAAAGGGGCUGUGGUGUUCGUGCUGUUGAUGCAAGAUGAACAGUACCAGAAAAUCUUUAUAGUCUG